rnacentral:rRNA from 1 species
GAUGAACGCUAGCGAUAGGCUUAACACAUGCAAGUCGAGGGGCAGCACAAGGUAGCUUGCUAUCUGGGUGGCGACCGGCGCACGGGUGCGUAACGCGUAUGCAACUUGCCCUAUACAGGAGGAUAACCCGUCGAAAGACGGACUAAUACUGCGUAUGCUCACAACUUGGCAUCAAGUGGUGAGGAAAGAAAUUCGGUAUAGGAUAGGCAUGCGUCCCAUUAGCUUGUUGGUGAGGUAACGGCUCACCAAGGCAACGAUGGGUAGGGGAACUGAGAGGUUUAUCCCCCACACUGGUACUGAGACACGGACCAGACUCCUACGGGAGGCAGCAGUGAGGAAUAUUGGUCAAUGGGCGCGAGCCUGAACCAGCCAAGUCGCGUGAAGGAUGACUGUCUUAUGGAUUGUAAACUUCUUUUAUACGGGAAUAACAGGAGUCACGUGUGACUCCCUGCAUGUACCGUAUGAAUAAGCAUCGGCUAACUCCGUG